UACGUAGGGGGCAAACGUUGUCCGGAUUUACUGGGUGUAAAGGGUGCUCAGGCGGUCUUGUAAGUUAGAAGUGAAAUCCUAGGGCUCAACUCUGGAACUGCUUUUAAUACUGCAAGGCUUGAAUAUUGAAGAGGAGGGUGGAAUUUCUGGUGUAGCAGUGAAAUGCGUAGAUAUCAGAAAGAACACCAGUGGCGAAGGCGGCCCUCUGGUCCAUUAUUGACGCUAAAGCACGAAAGCGUGGGGAGCAAACAGG
rnacentral:rRNA from 1 species